rnacentral:rRNA from 1 species
AGUGAACGCUGGCGGUAGGCCUAACACAUGCAAGUCGAACGGCAGCACAGUAAGAGCUUGCUCUUACGGGUGGCGAGUGGCGGACGGGUGAGGAAUACAUCGGAAUCUACUUUUUCGUGGGGGAUAACGUAGGGAAACUUACGCUAAUACCGCAUACGACCUACGGGUGAAAGCAGAGGAUCUUCGGACCUUGCGCGAUUGAAUGAGCCGAUGUCGGAUUAGCUAGUUGGCGGGGUAAAGGCCCACCAAGGCGACGAUCCGUAGCUGGUCUGAGAGGAUGAUCAGCCACACUGGAACUGAGACACGGUCCAGACUCCUACGGGAGGCAGCAGUGGGGAAUAUUGGACAAAGGGCGCAAGCCUGAUCCAGCCAUACCGCGUGGGUGAAGAAGGCCUUCGGGUUGUAAAGCCCUUUUGUUGGGAAAGAAAAGCAGCAGGUUAAUACCCCGCUGUUCUGACGGUACCCAAAGAAUAAGCACCGGCUAACUUCGUG